rnacentral:rRNA from 1 species
AUGAGGUCAGGUGGAAGUGUGUUCUUAGAGAAUGCAUGCAUCUCUAAGAUGAUAAAGGAAUUUAGCUCUAUACGGGAUGACGCGCCAAGGUGGGUAUUAAACAGAGCUACAACUUAUUUAGAAAAUGAUAUGAUAUUCGUUCCAGUUAACAUUGAACACUUCCAUUGGUACCUGGCAGUUAUAAAUACAGGGCAACGAUGCAUCCAGGUGCUCGACUCGCUGGGCCCAGGAAUGAGCCGCAAAGACCUCACCGCUAUGCUCAAAGGACUGGAAAAUGUAUUCGAAUAUGCAUCACUUCAAAUGGAACUAAAAAAUGAUAAGUGGAAAGACUUAAACAUCUCAGCAUGGCCAAGGGAAGAGUAUAUUAAGAGCACACUGCAAAGAGAAGGAACAAAACUAGCUGUCAUUUUAGUGGACUCGGAAUUGAAUGAUGAUAACAUAAGAAAUCGAGACAUGGAAGAUGACGACAACAACACAGAUCCCACGAAAUGUAUGAUUCUGGAUAGACCUCCUGAGAAUUUCAAAACAUCAAAUACAUCAGGAGAAGUCGAGCUAAUCUCGCAGUCAUUUAUCCUUUCACCGUUUUUCAAUCCAACAAACGAUGAUUUAAUAGAUGAACUAUGCUUGUUCAUCAACUCAAGUCAUCGUGAAAAUGUGGAAAUUGCUACAUUGAAACGGUUGUUUCAUAGCUGGCCUAACAGUAAUGAUUAUCAUAUCUCAUAA